UGUUUUAUUUUCAGGCAUUGACCUGUGGAAGCUUCUUGACAAAGAUGCAGAAGAAGACAGAAAAUCUCAGAACGCUACUGCAGAUUUCAUUGUGGAGGUUCAGCGAUAUCUGUCUGCUCCUCCUCUGGACAGAUCAAAGGACCCCUUAGGUUACUGUUCGAGGCACAAAUCCCUGUACCCACACCUGUUCAACCUGGCCAAACAGUUCCUGGUGACACCAGCAUCUUCUGUGCCAUGUGAAAAGGUCUUCUCCAAAUCUGGGGAAGUUGUCUCAAAAAAGCAAAAUCGCCUAAAACCAUCCACUGUGGAGACUCUAUUUUUUUUUUAUAAAAAUGCCUGAGUCAAACAAACACACCCAGUGUACACCAAGCACAAUCAGAACACAUAAUGUAUUGUAUUAAAUUGUCAGAACAUUAAUUACAUCCACAGCAUCAUUGAACCCUGUACAUAUUUACUCUGUCCAGUGUGUAAUUUGGGAUGAAUAAUUAUAAAUCCAUUUCAUAUUCUUAAGAGUUCUUGGGGAAGGAGGAUUACUUAGGUAUUCAACAUUUCACUUCAGAUACCUUAUAAGGCAAGGAAGAAAAACAGACACGUAAAAUGAAGUUAGAUUUCAGCUUUAUUUAGGUAAUUUCCACAUUACAAAAAAACUCAUCAUUAAAACAAAACUCAUGCACACGCAAGGUGCAUCAGUGUCACCUUUGCAAGGCUGCACAACAACGACUGCACCAGCAGAUGUCACCCACGUGCUCAAUGAAUGAAGCUUCGAGUAGUGAACCAAUUUUCAAUACAAUGGUCCAAAAGGGUUCAAAGCUUCAUGGGGCCUCGUAUGGCAUCACUAAAUACAGAUGUACAGGUUGUCAGGUUUGCUCUACGCCACCUGCCUCUCUCCCUUCUCACUCUUUCUUCUCUUCUGAUUCUCUGUUACAGGUCAGUGCAUGCAGCUGAGGUGCAUCAUCUCAUCAGUGGCUUCCGAGGUACCACACAGCUGAGCAAUCUGCACCUCUGACACUCUCCGUUCUGCCUCUGCCUGAGUGACCUGCUGCCAGUCAUCUCUCCUCUUCAUCUUCCUCGAGCCCAGCCAUCUCCGCUCUACCCCACCUGAGUUCGCCGGCUAUACUCACCUGUCUGAGCUUGUCUUCAUUUCCUCCAUCUGCCCUGCAUUGCCACCUCCAGCUCCCCAUCUGUGGACCCCUCGAGCUCUGCCUCCUCUGGCAGACAUUUCCAGCAUAUUGACUGUUAUCUCCAUAACUUGUUUUCUCAGUGUAAUAAAGUUUGUGAUCAGUGUCGCACCUGCCAUCCGUUUCCAGCCUGUUUGCUCACUCGCCUCCGCGAGUGCUCACCAUAACACAGUUGCAUACCAUGACUGUCUGUGAUUCCCCACUGCCUCUGA